GCCUAGAUAGCUCAGUCGGUAGAGCAGGGGACUGAAAAUCCCCGUGUCGGUGGUUCGAUUCCGCCUCUGGGCA
rnacentral:tRNA from 3 species